rnacentral:rRNA from 1 species
UACGAAGGGUGCAAACGUUGCUCGGAAUUACUGGGCGUAAAGGGCGCGUAGGCGGCCUGCUAAGUCGGACGUGAAAUCCCUCGGCUCAACCGGGGAACUGCGUCCGAUACUGGUGGGCUUGAAUCCGGGAGAGGGAUGUGGAAUUCCAGGUGUAGCGGUGAAAUGCGUAGAUAUCGGGAGGAACACCAGUGGCGAAGGCGACUACCUGGCCUGUUCUUGACGCUGAGGCGCGAAAGCGUGGGGGAGCAAACAGG